GGGGAUGUAGCUCAUUGGUGCUGCACCUGCCUGGCAAGCGCAAGGUCCUGAGUUCAACCCCCAGUAUCCCCU
rnacentral:tRNA from 1 species